ensembl:misc_RNA Metazoa_SRP Metazoan signal recognition particle RNA
GCCGGGCGUGGUGGCGCACGCCUGUAAUCCCAGCUACUCGGGAGGCUGAGGCAGGAGAAUCACUUGAACCCGGAGGCGGAAGUUGCAGUGAGCCGAGAUCGCGCCACUGCACUCCAGCCUGGGUGACAGAGUGAGACUCUGUCUCAA